rnacentral:tRNA from 1 species
GCCUGGGUGGCUCAGUCAGUUAAGCGUCCGACUUCAGCUCAGGUCACGACCUCACGGUCCGUGAGUUCGAGCCCCGCCUCGGGCU